AAGUCGUAACAAGGUUUCCGUAGGUGAACCUGCGGAAGGAUCAUCACUGAGAGGCUCACUGGCCGCGAGGGCAGGGGGCUUGAUAUCUUACACUCAGUGCACCGUAUUGCUGGCCCGCCGCCCUCCAGGGCGGUGAUAGGCUGCCAUGCUGCCCUCCAGGGCAGUUGUGGCUGCUGGGGCUAAUUGGUCACGUUGGCCAUCUUGGUCAUGCGUGGCCCGCACACUCACUACUAGUCUGAAAGAAUAGUCAUAUGACACAUGGACAACUUUCAUCAGUGGAUCUCUAGGCUCUC
rnacentral:misc_RNA from 1 species